AGCGCACGCUGGCGGCAGGCCUAACACAUGCCAGUCGAAAGAACCCGUCGGGGUUAGUGGCGGACGGGUGAGUAACACGUGGGAACAUGCCUUUAGGUUCGGAAUAACUCAGGGAAACUUGUGCUAAUACCGAAUGUGCCCUUCGGGGGAAAGAUUUAUCGCCUUUAGAGCGGCCCGCGUCUGAUUAGCUAGUUGGUGAGGUAAUGGCUCACCAAGGCGACGAUCAGUAGCUGGUCUGAGAGGAUGACCAGCCACAUUGGGACUGAGACACGGCCCAAACUCCUACGGGAGGCAGCAGUGGGGAAUCUUGCGCAAUGGGCGAAAGCCUGACGCAGCCAUGCCGCGUGGAUGAUAAAGGUCUUAGGAUUGUAAAAUCCUUUCACCGGUGAAGUUAAUGACUGUAGCCGGAGAAGAAGCCCCGGCUAACUUCGUGCCAGCCGCCGCCGUAACAC
rnacentral:rRNA from 1 species